GUCAAGGUAAGCUAAAUCAAGCUGUUGGGCCCAUACCCCAAUUAUGUGAGUUGAAACCCCACCCUUGAUA
rnacentral:tRNA from 2 species